rnacentral:rRNA from 1 species
AUUGAACGCUGGCGGCAGGCCUAACACAUGCAAGUCGAACGAGCGGCGGACGGGUGAGUAAUGUCUGGGAAACUGCCCGAUGGAGGGGGAUAACUACUGGAAACGGUAGCUAAUACCGCAUACCAUCGGAUGUGCCCAGCUGGGAUUAGCUAGUAGGUGGGGAAAGGGCUCACCUAGGCGACGAUCCCUAGCUGGUCUGAGAGGAUGACCAGCCAAACGGGAACUGGGACACGGUCCAGAAUCCUACGGGAGGCAGCAGUGGGGAAUAUUGCACAAUGGGCGCAAGCCUGAUGCAGCCAGGCCGCGUGUGUGAAGAAGGCCUUCGGGUUGUAAAGGACUUGCAGCGAGGAGGCGUUACUCGCAGAAGAAGCACCGGCUAACUCCGUGCCAGCAGCCGCGGUAAUUC